ACUUAACUAAUAUUAGUAGUGUGGCUUAAGAAUAUUUAUAUAAAUAUAUAAUAUAAUAAUAUAAAAUAUAAAAUAUUGUCGGCACAGUCACUUUAAUAUCAUAUAUAUAUAUAUUAUAAUAUAUAUAUAUAUAUAUAUAUUCUAAACGGGAAGGGUUUGAGUUGAUGAUUAUAAUACCCUCUUCGAACACCAUACUCAAAAAAUUCUCCGUACCCAUUCCCAUACCCAUUUUUUAUCCUUCAUACCCGACCCAUUAGGGUCGAAUCCCCGCGAAGACCCUUAUCAGCGGGAAAAAUUGUUAUCUCUACUUUGUUUCCGGUUCGAAUUAUAAAGACAAAAAUGUGCAUUGCUAACUAGUUUCCUUAUCAUUCCAAUUUUCUUGUAUACUUUCCAUGUUCUGAUUAUGUGACAAUGAAUGGCUGAAUUGCUUUCUCACGAACUCCAUGUUUUUCUUCAUAUUUUUGGCUGAUUUAACAGUGCUGGUGGUGGGCAUCGGGGAGAGAUUGAUGGAAUGUUAUAGUUGUUUGUCUUAGCUUCCACGCAUCUUGUUAUUGGCAUCAAGUCAACAUGCUGGACCCAGAGAGAAAGAAAAAUGAUUUUGCCAAUCAUGCAGAUAAACAACUGUCUGCCAGUCGUUGCUAAUUCCUUUCCCAACAUUAGUUCUCACAUGUAGAGUAAGCUGUUUUGGUGCUUCUUUGAUCCUGGAGUUUUAUUGUCUGUGUAACAGGCAGAGUUAGCAUACAGUUAAAUGUAGAUAUCCCUGUGGAUACUGAGUUACAACAAGGUUGUAUAUGGCGCCAGGCAAGAGGAUCCGCUACCUACAGUACAAAAUAUUCUAGUCCAUGCUUUUAGUAGCUUAGGAUUUCAGCUCUUUGGAGUUCGCAGGUUGGUGUUGCUCAACAAUCGUAUGAUGAAUUGGAUAAUCUUGCCUCUUUGAUAUCACCACCUGAAUCAGAGUUGAAUGUCGAAGAUGAUGGUAUGACUUCGGAAGUAAGUAGGAUUUCAAGAUGGAAAAGUUUGCAUCCAUUGUGCUGUCAAUACUGGUCCCGGAACAAGGGAGGUGUGCACCUUCAGUUUUUAUCUCUACUUGUUUUGUUUUCGGUCGUUUGAAAGCAACCGAAUCUCUGGCCAUGGUUUCAAUCUUGCCCCUACAUUUUCAUUCUUGGCAUUGUGCAGGUUAUUGUUUAUGCGGCACUGCAUUUAAAACAUAGAAGAAAGAAAGAAUUAUUAGAGGAUAAUCCGGAGAUAUGUGCAUCAAGGAUUGCAGAUAUUUUACACUGAGACAAAAGUGGCAAGAUAGGAAGAGAUUCAUGCAUCCAAUAAGAUUUGAGAGAUCUUAUCUUUAUGAAACAUUUACAUGUGAGGAUAAAAUUGGGUUGUCUUUGAUUACGAAAAGGCUGAAAACGCAAAAGAUAUUAUCCUAAGACACUCCAAGGUUGAGGUCAAUGUAUCUCUUUAAAACAUUCGAGUAUAUUUAAAGAGUAUAGAUAUAGCCCCUUGGCUAUAUUUUUAAAAUAUUCGAAUAUAUCUACAAUAUUAAAGGAUAGGAAAUGAUGAUUUCAGGCCUGCGAUUGAGGCUAACUAGUUAUCGUCGACAAACAAUUUUGCAAAACCCUCAAAUCUAUUCGAGCAAACACAAAAUCUCUAACUCUUCAAAACGUCAUCGCGAGCACUCUUACGGUAUCAUAGCCGCCAUGAUUAGAAUAACACUUUCUUUAUGUUCAAAAGACAAUCAGUUUAAAGGAACUUGUAGGUGAGACUUGUUACUGUGUCCGGAUGGGAUCGAAAGUUUGAAAUGUCAUGAUUUGGUUAAGAAAGAAAAACCAUUUAAAAUAUAGGGAUAUGAUUGGAUUACAACAGGCGGUAGCUUUCAUUAGUUUUAUGCUGCAUGCGCCUUAUGAUAGUCUACCAACACCUUAAUUUCGAGCUGAGAUAGGAGAGUGGGGCUUGCAUAUAGAUUUGGUAACUUGUGUUGUUAGUUUCUUGCGGUAUGAAAUUAUCUUAAAUUCAAAUUCCACCCAUUAAUUUAUCGUGUUCAAAUAUAUAAAUUUGAAUUCAUUCAUAAAUCUUUCGUGUCACUUAUUCACCCGUUUAUCCCGUUGCUCUAUUUUUUGUUCAACAAAAUUCCAAGAUAUAAAAUGUUUACCAAAUGUUAUCGAAUACAAUAAUAUAACAAGUUACUAUAGUGUUUCAUAAAAAUAAACACUACACUAACAUGACUUGUCAAUAAUUUUAUUUACACGUUAUGGACCUGAUAAUGUCGUAUAUAAUUUUGUCAGUUCGAAUUGAACAAGCCCAAUGUCGUUCCCUACAAGUAGUUAUCCACAGCUCAUCAAAAGCCCAAUCCAAAUAAUUUUGAGCUGAGAGGGAUAAGUAUGGGAGGUAAACAGCCCAUUUGACAUGAAAAGAUGAAAAGGAGAACAUGAAGCCCCAAAAGCUUCCAAAUUCCUACAAUUCAAACUUCACUCGUGUUACACAUAUUGCCUGAAAACUUAUAGCAAGUUAUAUAUUGACGUCACUCGCAUGACGUCUUUGAAGGGUAGGCAAUGAGUUGUCGAAAAUCAGAUAGGGGUAACUGAAUUUGACCAUCUCAACCAAAAUUCUUGUACAUGAAUCGAGGAAAAACUUACCUACUUCCGAAG
rnacentral:lncRNA from 1 species